rnacentral:rRNA from 1 species
CCUACGGGUGGCUGCAGUGGGGAAUAUUGCACAAUGGGGGAAACCCUGAUGCAGCAACGCCGCGUGAGCGAUGAAGGCCUUCGGGCCGUAAAGCUCUGUCCUAAGGGAAGAAUACUGACGGUACCUUAGGAGGAAGCCCCGGCUAACUACGUGCCAGCAGCCGCGGUAAUACGUACGGGGCUAGCGUUAUCCGGAAUUACUGGGCGUAAAGGGUGCGUAGGCGGCCCUUCAAGUCAGAGGUGGAAGGCUACGGCUCAACCGUAGUAAGCCGUUGGAACUGUAGGACUUGAGGACAGGAAGGAAGAGCGGGAUUGACGGUGGAGCAGUGAAAGGCGUAGGUAGUUAGAUGAGCACCAGGUGCAAAGGGGGCAUACAGGAAUGUCACUUACGGUGAGGCACGUAGGCGUGGCGAGCGAACAGGAUUUGAUACGCCAUAAGUC